UUCGUCCAUGUCACAUUGAAACACCGGUUCACAUACGAGCACCGAAGUUAAGCAACGUCAAGCUUACCCAGUACCUAGAUUGGUGACAGCUUGGGAAUACCAGAUACUGUAAG